UCAGUUCGGAUAGGGAACCUGCGGAAGGAUCAUUGUCGAGACCAAAAGAUAUUGAGAGAUUUAGAGAACUCAUUAACCAAGUGGUGACAGUCAUUGUCACGGAACAAUCAUACAACAUUAUCUCGUCGCCAUGAGGAGACAAGGUAAAGGUUGGAUGAAAACUUUAGCUAGCGCAUUUUCGCGCCAAGGUAAUGUGCAAAAUAUGAGCCCCAGCAAGUCUGGUGGCAUGGAAAAUAUGACUCUCGGCAACGGAUAUCUUGGCUCUCGCAUCGAUGAAGAGCGCAGCGAAAUGCGAUAUGUGGUGCGAAUUGCAGAAUCCCGUGAACCAUCAAGUCUUUGAACGCAAGUUGCGCCCGAGGCCAAUCAGCCAAGGGCACGUCUGCCUGGGCGUCAAGCGUUGCGUCGCUUCGUGCCAUCACCACCCACCAACAGGUCGGAUGGUGCAUGCUCGAAUGCGAAGAGUGGUUCGCCGUGCCCUUAGGUUCGACGGACUGAAGAGUGGGUGUUUGUCCUCCUAGCCACAAUAGACAACGGGUGGACGGAAGCCAAAAGCACGGCCAAACAAUGUCUCAUGCUGGCUUGAGGAAGAUUAAACAUCCCAAGUGAACCCAAACCCAUAUGCUGUACGGCAAGUGUCCGCUUGGAAUGCGACCUCAGGAUGGGCGGGGCUACCCGCUGAGUUUAGCUA
rnacentral:rRNA from 1 species